UACGUAGGUGGCGAGCGUUGUCCGGAAUCAUUGGGCGUAAAGCGCGCGUAGGCGGCUUGUCAGGUCUGAUGUGAAAUCUUGGGGCUCAACUCCAAGCGUGCAUCGGAAACCGGCUAGCUAGAGUCUGGGAGAGGAGAGUGGAAUUCCUGGUGUAGCGGUGAAAUGCGUAGAUAUCAGGAGGAACACCGGUAGCGAAGGCGGCUCUCUGGAACAGUACUGACGCUGAGGCGCGAAAGCUAGGGGAGCAAACAGG
rnacentral:rRNA from 1 species